ACUCCUACGGGAGGCAGCAGUGGGGAAUAUUGCGCAAUGGGCGGAAGCCUGACGCAGCGACGCCGCGUGGGGAUGACGGCCUUCGGGUUGUAAACCUCUUUCGACCGGGACGAAGAGUGAUUGACGGUACCGGUAGAAGAAGCACCGGCCAACUACGUGCCAGCAGCCGCGGUAACACGUAGGGUGCGAGCGUUAAUCGGAAUUACUGGGCGUAAAGCGUACGCAGGCGGUUUGUUAAGCGAGAUGUGAAAGCCCCGGGCUCAACCUGGGAACUGCAUUUCGAACUGGCAAACUAGAGUGUGAUAGAGGGUGGUAGAAUUUCAGGUGUAGCGGUGAAAUGCGUAGAGAUCUGAAGGAAUACCGAUGGCGAAGGCAGCCACCUGGGUCAACACUGACGCUCAUGUACGAAAGCGUGGGGAGCAAACAGGAUUAGAUACCCUGGUAGG
rnacentral:rRNA from 1 species